rnacentral:rRNA from 1 species
CCAGCAGCUGCGGUAAUUCCAGCUCCAAUAGCGUAUAUUAAUGUUGUUGCAGUUAAAAAGCUCGUAGUUGGAUUUUUGCUGAAGACAACCUGCAUAAAAUUUGUAUGAGUUUUAUUGUUUUGUGUUGUCAUUGGCAUUUGCUGAUAAAUCGUAUUUGGACUUAAUUGCUUAAAUAUGGUGAUGCAGCACUUUUACUUUGAGAAAAUUAGAGUGUUCCAAGCAGGCUGUGCCUUGAAUACAUUAGCAUGGAAUAAUAAGAUAGGACCUUAAUUCUAUUUUGUUGGUUUUAGGAAUAAAGGUAAUGAUUAAUAGGGAUAGUUGGGGGCAUUCGUAUUUGACUGUCAGAGGUGAAAUUCUUGGAUUUGUCAAGGACGAACUACUGCGAAAGCAUUUGUCAAGG